GUUUGUUAUACCAAAAGCACUGCCCAUUGUUCCCCACCAGCCUAACAACCCCCAUAUUAUUCCUGGGUGCGUCCUCCAAUAGCUGAAAAUACACGAUGAUAGAAGGUUAUUAUCAUUAUUCGAAAUGUGAAGAUAUGUGAAGUAAUACAAAUGCAACAUCUAGAGUCUGCGCCGUGCAUCCCACACGGGGGAUGCGCAUGCCAUGGAAAUGCUAUCAGCUCGUGAUCCGAUGAGGAGCAACUACUCUUAGUUGCUGGUGCUGCCUUAUUCAGAUAUUCAGGCAGCGCAAUAGAUAUUUUCAUAGGAAAAUUGGGAAUUAAAAUCCAUGUGUAUAUGCAUGGCUUUCUGGCAAUUUAGGUCCCACUGCUCUAACAAUCCCAUUAUUUUUUCCUCCCUCCUUAUCUUAUUAGUUACUACAUUUACUUAACUGUCGCCAAUGAUAGCUGGAAUCCUGUGAAAUAUAGUGUUCCGAGCUGGAAUGACUUAUUUAAUCUCUAUUAAUGAAGGAUCUGAUACCAUCCUGGCA